rnacentral:rRNA from 1 species
GAUAAACGUUGGCGGCGUGCAUGAGACAUGCAAGUCGAACGAACGAGCUUGCUCGUUAGUGGCGGACGGCUGAGUAACGCGUAGGUGACCUGCCCCGAAGUGGGGGAUAACUGCCCGAAAGGUGGCUAAUACCGCAUGUGGCGACGCCUUCAUUUGCGUCAUCAAAGCCGCGAGGCGCUUCGUGAGGGGCCUGCAUCCGAUUAGCUCGUUGGUGGGGUAAUGGCUCACCAAGGCGACGAUCGGUAGGGGGUCUGAGAGGACGAUCACCCAGACUGGGACUGAGACACGGCCCAGACUCCUACGGGAGGCAGCAGUCGGGAAUUUUGCUCAAUGGGCGCAAGCCUGAAGCAGCAACGCCGCGUGCGGGAUGAAGGCCUUCGGGUUGUAAACCGCUUUUACCAGGGACGAUAAUGACGGUACCUGAUGAAUAAGUCACGGCUAACUACGUGCCAGCAGCCGCGGUAAUAC